UACGUAGGGUGCAAGCGUUGUCCGGAAUUAUUGGGCGUAAAGAGCUCGUAGGCGGUUUGUCGCGUCUGGUGUGAAAAUCAGGGCUUAACCCUGGACCUGCAUCGGGUACGGGCAGACUAGAGUGCGGUAGGGGAGAUCGGAAUUCCUGGUGUAGCGGUGAAAUGCGCAGAUAUCAGGAGGAACACCGGUGGCGAAGGCGGA
rnacentral:rRNA from 1 species